rfam:Planctomycetales bacterium 71-10 scnpilot_p_inoc_scaffold_527, whole genome shotgun sequence.
GGGGCCGUGGUGUAACGGUCGCACGUCGGCCUUUUAAGCCGGGAGGUGGGGGUUCGAUUCCCUCCGGCCCCA